rnacentral:rRNA from 1 species
UGAGGAAUCUUCCACAAUGGGGGCAACCCUGAUGGAGCAACGCCGCGUGCAGGAUGAAGGCCUUCGGGUCGUAAACUGCUUUUAUAAGUGAUGAAUAUGACAGUAGCUUAUGAAUAGGCACCGGCUAACUACGUGCCAGCAGCCGCGGUAAUACGUAGGGUGCAAGCGUUAAUCGGAACUACUGGGCGUAAAGCGUGCGCAGGCGGUUUUGUAAGACAGUGGUGAAAUCCCCGGGCUCAACCUGGGAACUGCCAUUGUGACUGCAAGGCUAGAGUAGUAGAGGUAACUGGAAUUUCUUGUGUAGGAGUGGAAUCCGUAGAUAUAAGAAGGAACACCAAUGGCGUAGGCAGGUUACUGGGCUAUCUCUGACACUGAGGCACGAAAGCGUAGGGAGCGAACCG